ACGGCCGCUUCGGGCUGGUAGAUUCAAGUCCCGACCGUUCGGAGUUUUGGGACCCCAUUCAGCGAUCCGGGAAAACAGCCGCUUCGGGCUUGUAGAUGCAAGGUUUGUGUCCUGACCGUUCGGACUUU